rnacentral:rRNA from 1 species
UACGAAGGGGGCUAGCGUUGCUCGGAAUUACUGGGCGUAAAGGGCGCGUAGGCGGAUAUUUAAGUCGGGGGGUGAAAGUCCAGGGCUCAACCCUGGAAUUGCCUUCGAUACUGGAUAUCUUGGGUUCGGGAGGAGGUGGAGUGGAAUUCAUUGGUGUAGCAGUGAAAUGGACGUAGAGAUCAUGAGGAAGACCAGUGGCGAAGGCGGGUCGUCGUGGACAGUUCCUGACACUGAGACACGAAGGCCAGGGGAGCAAACGGG